GAUCAUGGCUCAGGAUGAACGCUAGCGACAGGCUUAACACAUGCAAGUCGAGGGCAGCAUAGAAGUAGCAAUACUUGGUGGCGACCGGCGCACGGGUGAGUAACGCGUAUGCAACCUACCUAUCAGAGGGGAAUAACCCGGCGAAAGUCGGACUAAUACCGCAUAAAACAGGGGCACUGCAUGGUGAUAUUUGUUAAAGAAAUUCGCUGAUAGAUGGGCAUGCGUUCCAUUAGGUAGUUGGUGAGGUAACGGCUCACCAAGCCGACGAUGGAUAGGGGAACUGAGAGGUUGGUCCCCCACACUGGUACUGAGACACGGACCAGACUCCUACGGGAGGCAGCAGUGAGGAAUAUUGGUCAAUGGGCGGGAGCCUGAACCAGCCAAGUCGCGUGAAAGGAAGAAGGAUCUAUGGUUCGUAAACUUCUUUUGCAGGGGAAUAAAGUGCAGGACGUGUCCUGUUUUGUAUGUACCCUGAGAAUAAGGAUCGGCUAACUCCGUGCCAGCCGCAGC
rnacentral:rRNA from 1 species